rnacentral:rRNA from 1 species
UUCUGGGAGGAUUGACAGAUUGAGAGCUCUUUCUUGAUUCGGUGGAUGUUAGUGCAUGUCCGUUCUUAGUUGGUGGAGCGAUUCGUCUGGUUAAUUCCUACAAUGAACAAGACUCUGGACUAUUAAAUAGGUACGUAGUUCUCCGGACCUUGCACCCUUCUUAAAGGGACAAACGGCUCCUAGCCGCACGAAACAGAGAAAUAACAGGUCUGAGGUGCACUUAGAU